CCUACGGGUGGCAGCAGUGAGGAAUAUUGGUCAAUGGACGAGAGUCUGAACCAGCCAAGUAGCGUGAAGGAUGACUGCCCUAUGGGUUGUAAACUUCUUUUAUAAAGGAAUAAAACGAGGCACGUGUGCCUUUUUGCAUGUACUUUAUGAAUAAGGAUCGGCGAACUCCGUGCCAGCAGCCGCGGUAAUACGGAGGAUGCGAGCGUUAUCCGGAUUGGGUGGGUUUAAAGGGUGCGUAGGCGGGCUUUUAAGUCAGCGGUAAAAAUUCGGGGCUCAACCCCGUCCGGCCGUUGAAACUGGGUGCCUUGAGUGGGCGAGAAGAAGGCGGAAUGCGUGGUGUAGCGGUGAAAUGCAUAGAUAUCACGCAGAACCCCGAUUGCGAAGGCAGCCCUCCGGCGCCCUACUGACGCUGAGGCACGAAAGUGCGGGGAUCGAACAGGAUUAGAUACCCCUGUAGUC
rnacentral:rRNA from 1 species